rnacentral:rRNA from 1 species
AUUGAACGCUGGCGGCAGGCCUAACACAUGCAAGUCGAGCGGAUGAAGGAAGCUUGCUCCUGGAUUCAGCGGCGGACGGGUGAGUAAUGCCUAGGAAUCUGCCUGGUAGUGGGGGAUAACGUCCGGAAACGGGCGCUAAUACCGCAUACGUCCUGAGGGAGAAAGUGGGGGAUCUUCGGACCUCACGCUAUCAGAUGAGCCUAGGUCGGAUUAGCUAGUUGGUGGGGUAAAGGCCUACCAAGGCGACGAUCCGUAACUGGUCUGAGAGGAUGAUCAGUCACACUGGAACUGAGACACGGUCCAGACUCCUACGGGAGGCAGCAGUGGGGAAUAUUGGACAAUGGGCGAAAGCCUGAUCCAGCCAUGCCGCGUGUGUGAAGAAGGUCCUCGAAUUGUAAAGCACUUUAAGUUGGGAGGAAGGGCAGUAAGUUAAUACCUUGCUGUUUUGACGUUACCAACAGAAUAAGCACCGGCUAACUUCGUG